rnacentral:rRNA from 1 species
AGCGGCGGACGGGUGAGUAACGCGUGGGUAACCUGCCUCAUACAGGGGGAUAACAGUUGGAAACGGCUGCUAAUACCGCAUAAGCGCACAGUACCGCAUGGUACCGUGUGAAAAACUCCGGUGGUAUGAGAUGGACCCGCGUCUGAUUAGCUAGUUGGUGGGGUAACGGCCUACCAAGGCGACGAUCAGUAGCCGACCUGAGAGGGUGACCGGCCACAUUGGGACUGAGACACGGUCCAA